UACGGAGGGUGCAAGCGUUAUCCGGAUUCACUGGGUUUAAAGGGAGCGUAGGUGGGCUGGUAAGUCAGUGGUGAAAUCUCCGGGCUUAACCCGGAAACUGCCAUUGAUACUAUUUGUCUUGAAUACUGUGGAGGUCAGCGGAAUAUGUCAUGUAGCGGUGAAAUGCUUAGAUAUGACAUAGAACACCAAUUGCGAAGGCAGCUGGCUACACAAAUAUUGACACUGAGGCACGAAAGCGUGGGGAUCAAACAGG
rnacentral:rRNA from 1 species